GACAGAGGGUGCAAACGUUGUUCGGAAUUACUGGGCGUAAAGGGCGCGUAGGCGGCCAUCUAAGUCAGACGUGAAAUCCCCCGGCUUAACCUGGGAACUGCGUCUGAUACUGGACGGCUUGAGUUUGGGAGAGGGAUGCGGAAUUCCAGGUGUAGCGGUGAAAUGCGUAGAUAUCUGGAGGAACACCGGUGGCGAAGGCGGCAUCCUGGACCAACACUGACGCUGAGUGAGCGAAAGCCAGGGGAGCAAACGGG
rnacentral:rRNA from 1 species